UGUGCCAGCCGCCGCGGUAAUUCCAGCUCCAAUAGCGUAUAUUAAAGUUGUUGCAGUUAAAAAGCUCGUAGUUGAACCUUGGGCCUGGCUGGCCGGUCCGCCUCACCGCGUGCACUGGUCCGGCCGGGCCUUUCCUCCUGGGGAGCCGCAUGCCCUUCACUGGGUGUGUCGGGGAACCAGGACUUUUACUUUGAAAAAAUUAGAGUGUUCAAAGCAGGCCUAUGCUCGAAUACAUUAGCAUGGAAUAAUAGAAUAGGACGUGUGGUUCUAUUUUGUUGGUUUCUAGGACCGCCGUAAUGAUUAAUAGGGAUAGUCGGGGGCAUCAGUAUUCAAUUGUCAGAGGUGAAAUUCUUGGAUUUAUUGAAGACUAACUACUGCGAAAGCAUUUGCCAAGGAUGUUUUCAUUAAUCAGUGAACGAAAGUUAGGGGAUCGAAGACGAUCAGAUACCGUCGUAGUCUUAACCAUAAACUAUGCCGACUAGGGAUCGGGCGAUGUUAUCUUUUUGACUCGCUCGGCACCUUACGAGAAAUCAAAGUUUUUGGGUUCUGGGGGGAGUAUGGUCGCAAGGCUGAAACUUAAAGAAAUUGACGGAAGGGCACCACCAGGAGUGGAGCCUGCGGCUUAAUUUGACUCAACACGGGGAAACUCACCAGUCCAGACACAAUAAAGGAUUGACAGAUUGAGAGCUCUUUCUUGAUUUUGUGGGUGGUGGUGCAUGGCCGUUCUUAGUUGGUGGAGUGAUUUGUCUGCUUAAUUGCGAUACGACGAGACCUUACCUGCUAAAUAGCCCAGCUAGCUUGCUGUCGCUGGCUUCUUAGAGGGACUAUCGCUCAGCCGAUGGAAGUUUGAGGCAAUAACAGGUC
rnacentral:rRNA from 1 species